rnacentral:rRNA from 1 species
AGUAAUGUCUGGGAGACUGCCUGAUGGAGGGGGAUAACUACUGGAAACGGUAGCUAAUACCGCAUAAUGUCGCAAGACCAAAGAGGGGACCUUCGGGCCUCUUGCCAUCGGAUGUGCCCAGAUGGGAUUAGCUAGUAGGUGGGGUAACGGCUCACCUAGGCGACGAUCCCUAGCUGGUCUGAGAGGAUGACCAGCCACACUGGAACUGAGACACGGUCCAG